GUGCCAGCAGCCGCGGUAAUACGUAGGUGGCGAGCGUUGUCCGGAUUUACUGGGCGUAAAGGAUGCGUAGGUGGAUGUUUAAGUCAGAUGUGAAAUACCCGAGCUUAACUUGGGUGCUGCAUUUGAAACUGGAUAUCUAGAGUGCAGGAGAGGUAAGUGGAAUUCCUAGUGUAGCGGUGAAAUGCGUAGAGAUUAGGAAGAACACCAGUGGCGAAGGCGACUUACUGGACUGUAACUGACACUGAGGCAUGAAAGCGUGGGUAGCAAACAGGAUUAGAUACCCCCGUAGUCC
rnacentral:rRNA from 1 species